UACGUAGGGUGCAAGCGUUAAUCGGAAUUACUGGGCGUAAAGCGUGCGCAGGCGGUUAUGUAAGACAGUUGUGAAAUCCCCGGGCUCAACCUGGGAACUGCAUCUGUGACUGCAUAGCUAGAGUACGGUAGAGGGAUGCGGAAUUCCAGGUGUAGCGGUGAAAUGCGUAGAUAUCUGGAGGAACACCGGUGGCGAAGGCGGCAUCCUGGACCACGACUGACGCUGAGUGAGCGAAAGCCAGGGGAGCAAACGGG
rnacentral:rRNA from 1 species